GAGGAUAUAGCUCAGUGGUAGAGCGCAUGCUUGGUAAGCACAAGGUCUUGGGUUCAAUCCCCAGUACCUCCA
rnacentral:tRNA from 1 species